rnacentral:rRNA from 1 species
UACGUAGGGGGCGAGCGUUGUCCGGAUUUAUUGGGCGUAAAGAGCGUGUAGGCGGCCAGGUAGGUCUGCUGUGAAAAACCUCGAGGCUCAACCUCGAGACGUCGGCGGAAACCAUCUGGCUAGAGUCCGGAAGAGGAGAGUGGAAUUCCUGGUGUAGCGGUGAAAUGCGCAGAUAUCAGGAAGAACACCCGUGGCGAAGGCGGCUCUCUGGGACGGUACUGACGCUGAGACGCGAAAGCGUGGGGAGCGAACAGG